GCUGACACUGAGGAGCGAAAGCCAGGGGAGCAAACGGGAUUAGAUACCCCGGUAGUCCUGGCCCUAAACGAUGAAUGCUUGGUGUGGCGGGUAUCGAUCCCUGCCGUGCCGAAGCUAACGCAUUAAGCAUUCCGCCUGGGGAGUACGGUUGCAAGGCUGAAACUCAAAGGAAUUGACGGGGGCCCGCACAAGCGGUGGAGCAUGUGGUUCAAUUCGACGCAACGCGAAGAACCUUACCCAGGCUUGAACAGCCAGUGACCACGUCCGAAAGGGCGCUUCCGCAAGGACACUGGUAGAGGUGCUGCAUGGCUGUCGUCAGCUCGUGUCGUGAGAUGUUGGGUUAAGUCCCGCAACGAGCGCAACCCUUGUCUGCUGUUGCCAUCACGUUAUGGUGGGCACUCUGCAGAGACUGCCGGUGAUAAACCGGAGGAAGGUGGGGAUGACGUCAAGUCAGCAUGGCCUUUAUGUCUGGGGCUACACACGUGCUACAAUGGCAGAUACAAACCGUCGCGAGACCGCAAGGUGGAGCUAAUCGGAGAAAGUCUGUCUCAGUUCGGAUCGUAGGCUGCAACUCGCCUGCGUGAAGUUGGAAUCGCUAGUAAUCGCGGAUCAGCACGCCGCGGUGAAUACGUUCCCGGGCCUUGUACACACCGCCCGUCACAUCACGAAAGCCGGUUGUACUAGAAGUCGCCAUACCAACCCGCAAGGGAGGGAGGCGCCUAAGGUAUGGUCGGUGAUUGGGGUGAAGUCGUAACAAGGUAACCAAGGG
rnacentral:rRNA from 1 species